rnacentral:rRNA from 1 species
AGGACCGCAUCCUUCGGGAAGCGAGCGUACACAGGUGCUGCAUGGCUGUCGUCAGCUCGUGUCGUGAGAUGUUGGGUUAAGUCCCGCAACGAGCGCAACCCUUGCCUUUAGUUGCCAGCAGUUCGGCUGGGCACUCUAAAGGGACUGCCGGUGUUAAACCGGAGGAAGGUGGGGAUGACGUCAAGUCCUCAUGGCCUUUAUGACCAGGGCUACACACGUACUACAAUGGCCGAUACAAAGGGCAGCGACACUGCGAGGUGAAGCCAAUCCCGUAAAAUCGGUCUCAGUCCGGAUUGGAGUCUGCAACUCGACUCCAUGAAGUUGGAAUCGCUAGUAAUCGUGGAUCAGCAUGCCACGGUGAAUACGUUCCCGGGCCUU